UGAGAAACCCAGAUGUGGGGGUGUUUGGGCUUGUGCUGUUGUUCCCAGGGGAACCUCUAAUGGACCAUGUCACCACAAGCCACCCAGGACAUGGCCACUGAAGUCCAGAGCUGAGCUGGUGUAACUGUAAGCACUGCUGUGAUGAUUUGCAUUGAGGAUACAUCCAGACAACAGGCUGUCUACAAGAGAACAUGAUUAUCUAUAUCACUACUAAGGCAGACAUCACCCAAACUGCUGUUAAAUUCACAAGUGUCACUCCAUCAGGAACAGCACACGUCCCCACACAGGCCCAGCUGUUACCAGUCACCCCAGCCCUGGUACUGGUGGAGAGCCACAGGGAGCCAAGAUCCAAGUGGAUGAGUGUGAGCUGGUGGAAUGGCAGGCGGAUCCAGUGUCAGACUGGGAUGCAGCACGGACCCAGCAGCCCCUGGCACAGAGCACAGUC